rnacentral:rRNA from 1 species
GUCUACGGCCAUACUACCCUGAACACGCCCGAUCUCGUCUGAUCUCGGAAGCGAAGCAGGGUCAGGCCUGGUUAGUACUUGGAUGGGAGACCGCCUGGGAAUACCAGGUGCUGUAGGCU